rnacentral:rRNA from 1 species
UACGGAGGGUGCAAGCGUUAUCCGGAUUCACUGGGUUUAAAGGGUGCGUAGGUGGGCUAGUAAGUCCGUGGUGAAAUCUCCAAGCUUAACUUGGAAACUGCCGUGGAUACUAUUAGUCUUGAAUCUCGUGGAGGUAAGCGGAAUAUGUCAUGUAGCGGUGAAAUGCUUAGAUAUGACAUAGAACACCGAUAGCGAAGGCAGCUUGCUACGCGAGUAUUGACACUGAGGCACGAAAGCGUGGGGAUCGAAACAGG